UACGUAGGGUGCAAGCGUUACUCGGAAUUACUGGGCGUAAAGCGUGCGCAGGCGGUUUUGUAAGUCAGAUGUGAAAUCCCCGGGCUUAACCUGGGAACUGCGUUUGAAACUACAAGGCUAGAGUGUGGCAGAGGGGGGUGGAAUUCCACGUGUAGCAGUGAAAUGCGUAGAGAUGUGGAGGAAUACCGAUGGCGAAGGCAGCCCCCUGGGCCAAUACUGACGCUCAUGCACGAAAGCGUGGGGAGCAAACAGG
rnacentral:rRNA from 1 species